UGCCCUUUAUGAUGUAAAUUUACUCAUUUGCUCAACUAAAGUGAUUAUUCAGAAAACAAUCACCAUCUUUCGGCUGAGGUUGCA